GACGAACGCUGGCGGCGUGCCUAAUACAUGCAAGUCGAGCGAGCAGAACCAGCAGAUUUACUUCGGUAAUGACGCUGGGGACGCGAGCGGCGGAUGGGUGAGUAACACGUGGGGAACCUGCCCCAUAGUCUGGGAUACCACUUGGAAACAGGUGCUAAUACCGGAUAAGAAAGCAGAUCGCAUGAUCAGCUUAUAAAAGGCGGCGUAAGCUGUCGCUAUGGGAUGGCCCCGCGGUGCAUUAGCUAGUUGGUAAGGCAACGGCUUACCAAGGCAAUGAUGCAUAGCCGAGUUGAGAGACUGAACGGCCACAUUGGGACUGAGACACGGCCCAAACUCCUACGGGAGGCAGCAGUAGGGAAUCUUCCACAAUGGACGCAAGUCUGAUGGAGCAACGCCGCGUGAGUGAAGAAGGUUUUCGGAUCGUAAAGCUCUGUUGUUGGUGAAGAAGGAUAGAGGCAGUAACUGGCCUUUAUUUGACGGUAAUCAACCAGAAAGUCACGGCUAACUACGUGCCAGCAGCCGCGGUAAUACGUAGGUGGCAAGCGUUGUCCGGAUUUAUUGGGCGUAAAGCGAGCGCAGGCGGAAGAAUAAGUCUGAUGUGAAAGCCCUCGGCUUAACCGAGGAAUUGCAUCGGAAACUGUUUUUCUUGAGUGCAGAAGAGGAGAGUGGAACUCCAUGUGUAGCGGUGGAAUGCGUAGAUAUAUGGAAGAACACCAGUGGCGAAGGCGGCUCUCUGGUCUGCAACUGACGCUGAGGCUCGAAAGCAUGGGUAGCGAACAGGAUUAGAUACCCUGGUAGUCCAUGCCGUAAACGAUGAGUGCUAAGUGUUGGGAGGUUUCCGCCUCUCAGUGCUGCAGCUAACGCAUUAAGCACUCCGCCUGGGGAGUACGACCGCAAGGUUGAAACUCAAAGGAAUUGACGGGGGCCCGCACAAGCGGUGGAGCAUGUGGUUUAAUUCGAAGCAACGCGAAGAACCUUACCAGGUCUUGACAUCUAGUGCCAUCCUAAGAGAUUAGGAGUUCCCUUCGGGGACGCUAAGACAGGUGGUGCAUGGCUGUCGUCAGCUCGUGUCGUGAGAUGUUGGGUUAAGUCCCGCAACGAGCGCAACCCUUAUUAUUAGUUGCCAGCAUUAAGUUGGGCACUCUAAUGAGACUGCCGGUGACAAACCGGAGGAAGGUGGGGAUGACGUCAAGUCAUCAUGCCCCUUAUGACCUGGGCUACACACGUGCUACAAUGGGCAGUACAACGAGAAGCGAGCCUGCGAAGGCAAGCGAAUCUCUGAAAGCUGUUCUCAGUUCGGACUGCAGUCUGCAACUCGACUGCACGAAGCUGGAAUCGCUAGUAAUCGCGGAUCAGAACGCCGCGGUGAAUACGUUCCCGGGCCUUGUACACACCGCCCGUCACACCAUGGAAGUCUGCAAUGCCCAAAGCCGGUGGCCUAACCUUCGGGAAGGAGCCGUCUAAGGCAGGGCAGAUGACUGGGGUGAAG
rnacentral:rRNA from 1 species